UUUUUUUUUUUUUUGCUUUUGUUCCCUUUGCCUUAAAAAAAAUAAUACUGCUACAGUUUAUAUCAAAGAGUGUUCUAAUGAUGUUUUCUUUUAGGAGUUUUAUGGUUUCCAGACUUACAUUUAGGGCUUUAAUCCAUUUUGAGUUUAUGUUUAUAUAUGGUAUUAGAGAAUGCUCUCUAUUUCAUACUUUUACAUACCCUGGUUCCAGUUUUCCCAGAACCACUUAUUGAAGAGACUGUCUUUUCUCCAUUGUAUGUUCUUUCCUCCUUUGUCAUAUAUUAAUUGACCAUUGGCAUAUGGGUUUAUUUCUCUAUUCUGUUCCAUUGAUCUAUAUGUCUGUUUUUGUCCCAGUGCCAUACUUUUGAUUAUUAUAGCUUUGUAGUUUAGCCUGAAGUCAGAGAGCAUGAUACUUCCAGUUCUGUUCCUCUUUCUCAAGAUUGUUGUGGCUAUUCAGGGUCUUUUGUGUUUCCACACACAUUUUUCUAGUUCUUUGAAAAAUGCUUUGGUAUUUUAAUAGAGAUUGCAUUGAAUCUGUAGAUUGCCUUAAGAAGUGUGGUCAUUUUAACAGUAUUGAUUCUUUGAAUCCAUAAACAUGGUAUAUCUCUCCAUCAGUUUGUUUUAUUCUCAUUUUCUUUCAUUAGUGUCUUAUAGUGUUUGAGUACAGGUUGUUUUUUUUUUUUAACCUCUUUAGUUAGAUUUAUUCCUAGAUUUUUUCUUUCAUAUGAUUGUAAGUGGGAUUGUUUCCUUAAUUUCUCUUUCUGAUAGUUCAUCAUUUAAUAUAUGGGGAUGCAAAAGAUUUCUGUGUAUUAAUUUUUUUUUAAAUUUCAUAUCCUGCAACUUUAUUUAAUUCGUUGAUGAACAGACUAGAGAAGUUUUUUAAGUCCCCCAAAUCUAGUAGGGGUCUGUAUUCAAUCUGCUUUGCAAGAGUCUUUAUUUGUCUCCACUUUUAACAAAAUGAAACUGGAAAUUCAAUACAAAGGCACUAGAGGUAUAGUUUAUACAAGAAAGACUACCCAGAAUUCCAGUUAGAAGAACCAUACUCAAAAGAAAGGCCUUAGUGACUGGAGAAUAAAUAUUUAGGUUAAAAAUAAAAUUCUUAAGGUAUACUUAUUGAAGAGGAUGUAAGUCAGGCUUUCUGUGACAGACACCCAAAAUAUUAGUGGUUUACUCCAGAGAAAAGUUUAUUUUCCUUUCACAUAAAAGUGUUAAUUAGAAUAAUUGCCUGUAGUAACAAAUACACCUUCAAAUUGUAACAACAGAGACACAAUGGGUUUAUUUCUCCCUCACAGAACAGGUCAAAUGGAUGCUUCUGGUCAGUGGGUAGCCCUCCUCUGCAUGAUUCAGGGAACCAGGCUUUUCCAUCUUGUAACUCUAUCAUUAAUAUCACUUUCUGUGUAUUAACUAGAGAAAUGGCUAAGAGGGUAUAAAGCAUGCAGAGCUACUUUUUUCAAAGACUUGGGCUGAACACUCCAUGCAUCACCUCUCACAUUCUGUUGGCUACAACCCAGUCACAUGACAUAUCUAACUAUUAGAGGCUGAGAGAUGUAGUCUUUAUCCUGGUAGUCUGUUUGUUCAGCUAAAAUCAGAACUUCUAUGACUGUGAUAAAUAUCUAUUGCCUUGUAACAAAUUAUCCCCAAACCGUAGCACUUAGAAUGAGAAACAUUUGCUUCAGUUUCUCUGGGUCAGGAAUCUGGAUGCAGCUUAGCAGGAUCCAUUGGCUCUGGACCAAGGUAACCUGACAGACCAGGACUGGAGUCAUCUCAAGGAUGUAUUUGGGGAGGAUCCUUUCCAGCCUCACUCAUUUGACUGUCAGCAGCCUCAGAAAUGCCACUUCAAAGCUUACCCACAUGGCUGUUGGCCGUCAUUAGGUCCUCUUUGGCCAUUGUCGGAGAAAUUGGUUUCUUACCAUGUGAGAGAUGAGUAAUGCUCUUUGUUCCUUCUUCAUGAAAGAAGCAAUAGGCACUAGAUAGAGUCACUUGCCACACACCUGCAAACCAAGAUGUAUUUGCUGUUUCAGUCCCUCCCAGGACUGGAAUUUUAAACAAGUCAAUCUGGAAUUCCUGGUCAGCACUAGUGAGGCCAUCUGCCCAAGAUCCCCUGCCUUCCCCUAAGGGAAGGUCACCUUGCCUGAAAUAACCCACUCUUUUUACAUCCUUUUUCUGCCUAUAAAAACCUUCCAUUUUGUGCAUUUCCUCUGAGUAUCUCUCAGCUAGCCAGAUGAGAUGCUGCCCAAACCAUGAAUUGUUUAAUAAGCCAAUUAGGUCUUCAAAUUUACCAGACUAAACCUUUUUUCCCUAACAAGACAGUAACUGAAGGAGCAUAUUCAUAAAGACCCCUGUGAAUUACCUAGAAUAAAAGCAAUCCUUCUUCAGAACUAGGUGAUAGAAGGAGACUGUCUGGAAGGAAGACAUUUCUUCCUUCACGAGGAAGAUUCUUGUAGCUUCUAUCUGGUCUAAGAAUUUUAUUGAUAGAAGACAUAUUAAUGGGAGAAAAUCAAAUAAAAAUGUAAUAACAUGUUGUCAAAAAAAUAUUCACGACCUAAAAGGUGAGAGUUAGGUUUUAUUCGGUGGACACAACCGAGGACUUAAGACUGGGACACAGCAUUUCAGAUAAUUCUAAGAGACUGCUCAGAGAAAAUAUAGGAAGAGUGAGAGCUGGGAUAUAUAGGAGUUUUGCAACAAAGGGCAGGUAGUAAGAGCAAAAGGUUACUGUUAAUAAAAGAAAAUGAAAUAGCUCAAGUUAAGGAAUUUUAGUACAAGCACUUUAAUAUAGGAAUUGAUGCUUAUAAAGUCAUUGAAAGGGGAGGGGACGUGAGAGUCAAGGGAGAACUGGCACUGCCUUACAGAAACACAGGAAGCAGAGAAUCAUGGUAACGCUUGCCAUAUCUCAGCUGCCUGUAGCACUGAAUUGGGUUAUAUGCAGAAGUUCAUCCAAAAGAUAUUACAAACUUAGCAUUUGCCUUUUGCCAAUACAUCUACCUUCUUGAGAGGAGAAAUGAUGGUUUAUAUUUCUCUUCCAUCUUCCUAAUUGCCUAUAAAUUGGUUAGGUCCCAUUGGUUUAUUUUUGCUUUUAUUUCUGAUGCUUUGGGAGACUGACCUGAUAAAACAUUUGUAUGGUUGAUAUCAGAGAAUGUUUUGCCUAUGUUCUCUUCUAGGAGUUUGAUGUUGUCUUGUCUUACAUAUAAGUCUUUAAACCAUUUUGAGUUUAUUUUUGUUCAUGAGGUAUGAGGGUGGUAUGAGGGUGUGUUCCAGUUUCAUUGAUUUACAUGUGACUGUCCAGUUUUCCUAGCACCACUUGCUGAAAAGAUUGUCUUUUCCCCAUUUAAUAUUCUUGCCUCCUUUGUUGAAGAUUAAUUCACCGUGGGUGUCUGUGUUUAUUUCUGGGUUCUCUAUUCUGUUCCAUUGGUCUGUAUGUCUGUUUUGGUGCCAGUACAACACUGUCUUGAUGAUUGUGGCUUUGUAAUAUUGCCUGAAGUCUGGGAGAGUGAUGCCUCCUGCUUGGUUUGUGUUCCUCAGGAUUGCUUUGGCAAUUCUGGGUCUUUUGUGGUUCCAUAUAAAUGUUUGGAUUGUUUGUUGUAGUUCUGUGAAAAAUGUCAUGGGUAAUUUGAUAGGGAUUGCAUGUGGUCUCUUUGCCAUUUCUAGGGCUGCUUCUGCAGCAUAUGGAGAUUCCCAGGCUAGGGGUUGAAUUGGAGCUGUAGCCUCUGGCCUACACCAGAGCCACAGCAACGCGGGAUCCGAGCCGCGUCUGCAACCUACACCACAGCUCAAGGCAACGCUGGAUCCUUAACCUAGAUCCUUAACCCACUGAGCAAGGCCAGGGAUAGAACCCGCAACCUCAUGGUUCCUAGUCAGAUUCAUUAACCACUGAGCCACGACGGGAACUCCAGUAUGGCCAUUUUUAUAAUAUUAAUUUUUCCAACCCAGGAGCAUGGAAUAUCUUUCCACUUCUUUGCAUAUUCUUUAAUUUCCUUGAUUAAUGUUUUAUAGUUCUCAGCAUAUAAGUCUUUCGCUUCCUUGGUCAGGUUUAUUCCCAGGUAUUUGAUUUUUUGGGGUGCAACUUUACAUUACAUUAACAAAAGAAAAGUCAAAAACCACAUGAUCAUCUCAAUAGAUGCAGAAAAAGCAUUUGACAAAGUCCAACAUCCAUUCAUGGUAAAAACUCUUACCAAAGUGGGUACAGAGGGAACAUAGCAUAACUUAAUAAAAGCCAUUUACAACAAACCCACAGCAAAUAUAGUACUCAAUGGAGAAAAGCUGAAAGCCUUUCCAUUAAAAUCUGGAACAAAACAAGGAUGCCCAAUCUCACUACUUUUUUUCAACAUAGUAUUGGAAGUCCUGGCCACAGCAGUCAGACAAACAAAAGAAAUAAAAUGUAUCCAAACUGGAAAAGAAGAGGUAAAAUUGUCACUGUAUGCAGAUGACAUGAUACUAUAUAUAGAAAACCCUAAAGACUCAAUCCAGAAACUACUGGAACUGAUCAACAAAGUCAGCAAAGUAGCAGGAUAAAAGAUUAACAUUCAGAAAUCAGUCUCAUUGCCUAUAAAUUGGAAGCUUAUUGGCAAGCAAUUCUUGGCCAUGUAGUUAUCCUUCCAGCCUCUUAAAGAGGAAAGGACAGAAAAGAGUGGGGAUAGACUGAGUUAACAGCAGACAAUAUGGCACCACUCAGCCGUUGGGUUUUACUCAACAUUCUUACAAUCUCUUCUGCCCAUAUUUAUCUUCCAUACAAAAGUAGUAGCAAAACAUCCUAGUUCUACCUAAUGUAAUGAGCCAUCAAUUCUUCAAAGAAAAACAUCUGCCUUCUCCCCCCAAAAGUGGAGACUCAGCAUUCCAUGAGUCACUAGCUAUAGCUGGGUAAUAAUCAUUCUUUUUCUAAUAUAAUCACAGUCAUCCUUUCAUAUCAUGUAACCUAAAAUUAAAAUUUUAAUAUCUGCCAUUAUGACUCAUGUAGAAGAGUAGAAAAAGAGAAAAAAUCAUAUUCUGGCUAUGAGAGAAAUAGUAUUGGAAAGCAUAUAUCUAUCCAGUAUAAUAUAUAAUCCAGUGAAAACAAAUUGCUGCCCUUUCCAUGCUGAUUUCUAAGGAAAUCAACCCGUUGCCCAGUGGGUGACUGUUCCCACAAAGGAAGCAUGCCAUAUUAGGAACUCAACAUUUAUUUCUGUUAACAGUUGAGGAUUUUUACACCAAUUGUUCAUCAAUGAUGUUGGUCUGAAAUUUUCCUCUUUUGUAGUGCCUUUGUCUGGGUGUGGCAUCUAGGUGCUGGCUUUAUUAUGUUUCUGUCGAUUUCUCUCUUUAUGUUUGUUAAUAUUUGCUGUAUGGAUUUAGGUGCUCCUAGGUUGGGCGAAUGUAUAUUUACAAUUGUUACAUAUUCUUGUUAGAUUGAACCCUUUGUUAUCAUGUAACAUCCUUCUUUGUCUUUUGUUACAGUCUUAGUUUGAAAGUCUAUUUUUGUCUGAUAUAAGUGUUGCUACCCUGGCUUUCUUUUUUUUCCAUUUGCAUGGAUACCUUUUUCUAUCUCCUCACUUGCAGUAUGUGUGUGUUUCUACAGCUCAAGUGAGUUCUUAUAGGCAGCAUAUAUAUGGGUGGAGUUUUUUUUGUUCGUUUUGCUUUUGUUUUUUGUCUUUUUAGGGCCACACUCACGGCAUAUGGAGGUUCCCAGGCUAGUGGUCACAUUGGAGCUGUAGCUGCUGGCCUACAUCAUAGCCAUAGCAACUCGGGUUUCAGGCCAUGUCUGUGACCUACACCACAGUUCAUAGCAAUGCUGGAUCCUUAAUCUACUGAGUGAAGCCAGAGAUCGAACCUGUGUCCUCAUGGAUACUUGUCAGAUUCGUUUCUGCUGAGCCGCAGUGGGAGCUCCUGGGUGUUGUUUUUGUAUCCAUUCAGUCUCUUUGUCUUUUGAUUGGAGCAUAAAGUCCAUUUACAUUUAAAGUAAGUAUUGAUAUGUAUGUUGUACUUAUUGCCAUUUUGUUCAUUGUUUUCUGGUUGUUUUGUAGUUCUUUAUUCCUUUUUUCUUUUUUUUUCUUUUGUGAUCUAUGACUAUCUUUAGUAUUAUGUUUGUAUUAUUUUUUGUAUGUAUCUAUUAUAAAUUUUUGGUUUGUGAUUACCAUGAGGUUUAUAUACAAGAAUAAUUUUUGAUGAUCUCUUAAAUUCAAAUGUAUUGGAAAAAA
ensembl:lncRNA